rnacentral:rRNA from 1 species
CCGAUUCGGGGAGGUAGUGACAAUAAAUAACAAUACAGGGCCAACGGUCUUGUUAUUGGAAUGAGAACAAUUUAAAUAACUUAACGAGGAUCAAUUAGAGGGCAAGUCUGGUGCCAGCAGCCGCGGUAAUUCCAGCUCUAAUAGCGUAUAUUAAAGUUGUUGCAGUUAAAAAGCUCGUAGUCGGAUGUCGGGCUCGGGCAGGCUGUCGGCUUCGGUCGGACGGCAGGCUCGGGUCUUUCUGCCUGAGGAUCCCGUUGCACUUAAUUGUGGGGCGUGGGGACGCAGGCCGUUUACUUUGAAAAAUUAGAGUGUUCAAAGCAGGCCUACGCUUGAAUACAUUAGCAUGGAAUAAUGGAAUAGGACUUUGGUGCUAUUUUGUUGGUUUAUGGGACCGAAGUAAUGAUUAACAGGGACAGUUGGGGCCGUUUAUAUUUCGUUGUCAGAGGUGAAAUUCUUGGAUUUACGAAAGAUAAACUUCUGCGAAAGCAUUCGGCAAGGAUGUUUUCAUUGAUCAAGAA